rnacentral:lncRNA from 1 species
AUUUAUACGCCAAUUUUAUCUCGUGUUCGACUGCGUCUCUUUCUUCGCUUUCUUUGUCACGUCACUUUUCUUUCUCACGUUUCGUAGCGAAAUUCUAGAAAUUCAUCUUUGAGAAUCACGAAGCUUGAUCUAACAGAAUUACUAGAUUCGCUCGAAAGAGGAAGCAAAUUUACAGCGAAGCCCUAACAUUUCUAUUUCCAGUCCAAAUU